GACGGGGGCCCGCACAAGCAGUGGAGUAUGUGGAUUAAUUCGAAGCAACGCGAAGAACCUUACCAGGUCUUGACAUCGUANGCAUAGCAUAGAGAUAUGUGAAAUCCCUUCGGGGACGUAUAGACAGGUGGUGCAUGGUUGUCGUCAGCUCGUGUCGUGAGAUGUUGGGUUAAGUCCCGCAACGAGCGCAACCCUUACUGUUAGUUGGUACGCAAGAGCACUCUAGCAGGACUGCCGUUGACAAAACGGAGGAAGGUGGGGAUGACGUCAAAUCAUCAUGCCCCUUAUGNCCUGGGCCUCACACGUACUACAAUGGCUGCCAACAGAGGGAAGCGAAGCAGUGAUGCAGAGCAAAUCCCCAAAAGCAGUCUUAGUUCGGAUUGCAGGCUGAAACUCGCCUGCAUGAAGUCGGAAUUGCUAGUAAUCGCAGAUCAGCAUGCUGCGGUGAAUACGUUCCCGGGCCUUGUACACACCGCCCGUCACGCCAUGGGAGUCGGUAACACCCGAAGCCUGUAGCCCAACCGCAAGGAGGACGCAGUCGAAGGUGGGGAUUGAUGACUGGGGUGAAGUCGUAACAAGGUAGCCGUAUCGGAA
rnacentral:rRNA from 1 species